GAGGAAGAAGAAGUAUGGAAUGGGGCUAUGGGAAUGGGGCUGCUUGUGUUGCCGGUGCGAAGAGAUUACUGGCGACAGAGUAAGAAUCUCUUUCGGACGCAAUACGCCAGAAAUAUGUCCCGGGACAGAUUUGCGGCCAGCUGGAGGCAAGGACAAUAGUAAUACUUAUUGAUUGGGAUGAUGCUGUAAUAAGUAAUUACUACAGUUUAUAUGUAAGAGAUGUAUUACUGUCCCGGAGAUGCGUAAAGCACCCGGGUGCGUAAAACCAGAUAAGCUUCUCUGGAAUGUCACUUAUACUUAUCAAUAGUAAUACUUAUUGAUUGUGAUGAUGCUGUAAUAAGAAAUUACGACAGUUUAUAUGUAAGAGAUGUAUUACUGUCCCGGAGAUGCGUAAAGCACCCGUAAAACCAGAUAAGCUUCUCUGGAAUGUCACCAGUGGCGUAACAAGGCAACGACGGGCCCGUAUGCAGGAUGUUCAAGGCUCUUCCAAAGAAUAGAGCUUCUUUGGAAUUUCACACCUAACUGCGAUCUCCAGAACAAUAAGGCCUAGGCUACUAUACAUUCCCAAAUUAUAGCCUGUAUCUUUUAAUUACGCUACUUCUUAGGAUGGAAUGCAAUUGUAUUUGUAUUAUGCAUAAUACUUUUAUUCAGUCAUCACAUACAAGUGCAUGUAAUUUAAAACGCAGACUGUUUACAGUUUUAGUCCCAGUUUGUUCCCCUUCCCAUGUUUGUUAUUAUAUACUUUAUUACUUUCUUAUAUACUUAUUUCACUUUAUUAUACUUUAUUUUUUUUACUGUUUUGUGCUGUUCCUGCACUUUUACAUAUUUUUUUACUUUUUUAUUUACUUUUCUACCUGUAUGUAAAUAUUGUAAAUAUUUGUUAAUAAAAACUCAAAUUUCCCAUGAAAGCCACAGGUGUCAGCUCUCAAAUACUUUUUGAAUUGUGUUCCUAUCUGUUACAGGGGCUGAGAAAUCAGUAAUUUAGUAGGCGUUGACACAAUUGCUGAAUUUCUAGAAAAACUUCAGGUUUUGGGGGCUUUUCUGAAAUCGCCUAUAGGUUUUACAGGCAUUUUUUCCAGGCGCUUUAGGCCUAAAUGGGUUAAUACAGUAUUAAUAAUUACUGUUAUUGAUUUUAUAUUUGCGGUAUUUUAUAUUUGCCAGUGGAUAAGCAUAGAUGGUUUUGUUGUGAAAAACAUGUUUUUUAUAUUUUCAGAUUGCCCCUACCAUAUUGGUCGUGACUCCUUCGAAAUAAGGAGUUACGGGAAGGAGAGGAUGAGAAAGGGCAUUAAAGAAGUCCUUGUUGAUUGGCAGCCUUGCCCAGUUUGUGGGAAGGAGUGGGCCAGGUCCUGGCAGCCAAAAGAUUUGAAUUAGUCCCCCUGCCCUCUUCAAAUAAAAACAUAUUUUCAGUCUUUCUAGAAUGUGGUGCUACUCCUGAUACAUGAUUGCCCUGCCAUUCAAAUGUGGUCACUAAG